AUACGACUCUACUGUCCCCACAACCCUCCACGCCUGAGUCCUGUUCUUCUCUCCUCCCAUAAGUAACUCUCGUACUCUCUGUCUCGCUGUCUCUGACUCUCUGUCUCUCUGUCUCUGUUUCUUUCUCUCUCAUGUCCAUUAAAAUGUCUAUGUCCUGGAAUGCUCUGGAAGACGUUUUGGACCGUGUUGCAGAAGGAUUUGGUAGCGGUGCUUAGAGCUCCUGAUGCCUGAUUAUAUCAGAAGACUAACGGCAAAAGUCAGGUCCUCACGGGAGAACUAAGAAGCACGUCUGGGACGGAACAGAUGAGGAAACAGGUGCAAAAAGGCCCUUCGACUCAUACAAAGUCAUACAGUGAAACCGGGCAUCAGAUUCAGGCCUGCCAACCCAACACCAAACCCAACACCUAAAUCCAACAGGCUUCCAGUAACCACACCAUGGUUCUCCCUUUUAAUUCAACUCAGUUGAAAUCAACACACGCUGAUGGAAGGUCUAAUGGGUGCAUUUGAGGAAAAGGAGAGACGGAGGAAGGACACACGAGAAUGGAGCUGAAAUCACACAUCAAUCCUAAAGGAGCUACAAUGGAAACAGGAUGUGAAGGACUCAUUCGUCAUGCUUGAGAAGCUUAUAAUCCUGAAGGAAAGGUAAGACAGGUGUAUAAGGCAGGGAACAACGUGAGCGCUCUAAAACAGGUCUGCACGUGUUCCAUGAAAGCUAAGGAAGUUUCAGAGGUUUGGAAAAGGCUUCAGGGAGGAGGCAAUAUUUAAAACAGGUUGAAUCAUUAGACACUCAUUCCAACUCCCUUCUAGCCGGCCCAUAGAGGCUAGAAAGCUAAAAGCCUUCCGCGACGCCCUCGCAGUUGGGGGUGGGUAGGUGACCCCUUUCUGGCCAAUGAGACUUGAGCAGGUUUCUUUCAGGACAGCUUCUGCCUCUUUCUUCCUGGCUGGAACGUGGGUAAUGCUGAGACUCCAGCAGCUAUCACCAAGGCAGGUGGCGUAGGGAAGAUGGAAAGAGCCUGGUUCCUGGAAGGAACCCAGGGUGGAGCUGUCGUCCCACCCCUCGCCUGCCUGCCCCAGAGCUUCUUGUUGUGCGGCACGAUUUUACCCCUACUUGGUUCAGCCAGUGUAGCCGAACUUCUCUUCCAUGCAGCUGCCCCCCGACCUGACUGUUUCACAGGCCGUGGAAAAGUCGUAGGAUCUCAGCAGGCAGAGGCAGAGGGAAGAAAGUUGCAGGCAAACGCUCCAGGAUGGGGGAAGCACAGGGCAUGUUCUCGGCAGAGCAGGAGCGAGGAUAGAGGGAGAUCAGAAGAGAAGUUGGGAAAGGCGGGCUGGCGCGGGUGACGAACCAGGGGGGCGCGCGGUGGGUGCAUGGACUUCGUUCAGAAAGCGGAGAGACUUUGUCGAGGACACUGAGCAGCACCGUUCCUGGGGAGUGGACGUCGGUUCCUUGACAUUAACACCUGGUGCCUCGGGGAGCGUGCCUUGGGCCCCAGGUGAGCAGGCUGGGCGGCUGUGAGAAGCCUCGAGCGAGAGUGGGUGGCCUGUAUCACUCUAAUCUGCAGUGUGUGUGUGUUACAUUCCUGUUGGCUUAGUAUUCACACGGAGCUUCAGGAACCACAGGACCGCAAACUCACUCACAGUCUGGAGGCACCACUCUCGCUGUCCUGCUUUCCUCCCAUCAGCAAUUGCCAGGCUGGCAAACCACAGCUACAGCCCUCUGGCUUCUAAAGUGCGCCCUGCUUUGACUGCGGCGCAUCUCAGGCCACACACAUCUUCACCAAGAGUGGUCAAAGAUGGAAGCAACCAGAAGACAGAUAUUUAUGUAAAUAAACAUGAUCUGGGAUCAUCGAUAGGAGAGUGCAAGUGGGAAAGAUAUCUAACCUAUGAUGUCCCUGAACAAGUUCAAGGACCCCAGGCUGCUCCAUGAAAUAAAUUCUUCCUUGCUUAUACUGUGUGUCUGUGUUUCUCUGGCUCAGAAACUUGAGCUUCAGAGGCAGCGUGAUGCAGUGGGAAAAUACUGCUUCCAGGCUGCCUCCAGCUGGCUGUUUGAACUCAAAAUUUUUUUUAAAUUACCAUUCUGGAGACCUCAAGCUACUCACCUAUCCACCUAUCCACGGAGAGGUCUGGAGCAGAGAAACCAACUCUGUCCCAGUUCCCUGGGCAGCCAGCAGAGGGCCCCACUGUCUCCACAUCCAUAAGGUCUCUGUUCUGAAUCCUAGUUCCUUGCUUAAGCAUCCCAUUUUCUCCAAGGUGAGUGCAUACAGCAGAAACUCAAUAAUCUUUACUGAAUGGAUAAAUGAGCUGCCACAGAUGUUCUUGGAUAAGAGUUUUCGGACAGAAGUACAGACCUCUCCAGGCCUGGGACCACAGAGGGCAAUUACUUGGUGACAUAAUGGCAGCACGCCCAAGCCCCAGGCCAGGCAGCUCUAGGAGAGGAUGAGGUUGAGUUGGUGCAGUUUUUCAUCAGCGUCAUUCCAAAGAACUAGUCCCACUAGAUGUUGAUAACAUUCUGAGAAAAAUGUCCUCUGGUUAAAAAAAGUUAAGAAAUU
rnacentral:lncRNA from 1 species